rnacentral:rRNA from 1 species
GGGUUGUGAGGUUAAGCGACUAAGCGUACACGGUGGAUGCCCUGGCAGUCAGAGGCGAUGAAGGACGUGCUAAUCUGCGAUAAGCGUCGGUAAGGUGAUAUGAACCGUUAUAACCGGCGAUUUCCGAAUGGGGAAACCCAGUGUGUUUCGACACACUAUCAUUAACUGAAUCCAUAGGUUAAUGAGGCGAACCGGGGGAACUGAAACAUCUAAGUACCCCGAGGAAAAGAAAUCAACCGAGAUUCCCCCAGUAGCGGCGAGCGAACGGGGAGCAGCCCAGAGCCUGAAUCAGUGUGUGUGUUAGUGGAAGCGUCUGGAAAGGCGCGCGAUACAGGGUGACAGCCCCGUACACAAAAAUGCACAUAUUGUGAGCUCGAUGAGUAGGGCGGGACACGUGGUAUCCUGUCUGAAUAUGGGGGGACCAUCCUCCAAGGCUAAAUACUCCUGACUGACCGAUAGUGAACCAGUACCGUGAGGGAAAGGCGAAAAGAACCCCGGCGAGGGGAGUGAAAAAGAACCUGAAACCGUGUACGUACAAGCAGUGGGAGCCUCUUUUAUGGGGUGACUGCGUACCUUUUGUAUAAUGGGUCAGCGACUUAUAUUCUGUAGCAAGGUUAACCGAAUAGGGGAGCCGAAGGGAAACCGAGUCUUAACUGGGCGUUAAGUUGCAGGGUAUAGACCCGAAACCCGGUGAUCUAGCCAUGGGCAGGUUGAAGGUUGGGUAACACUAACUGGAGGACCGAACCGACUAAUGUUGAAAAAUUAGCGGAUGACUUGUGGCUGGGGGUGAAAGGCCAAUCAAACCGGGAGAUAGCUGGUUCUCCCCGAAAGCUAUUUAGGUAGCGCCUCGUGAAUUCAUCUCCGGGGGUAGAGCACUGUUUCGGCAAGGGGGUCAUCCCGACUUACCAACCCGAUGCAAACUGCGAAUACCGGAGAAUGUUAUCACGGGAGACACACGGCGGGUGCUAACGUCCGUCGUGAAGAGGGAAACAACCCAGACCGCCAGCUAAGGUCCCAAAGUCAUGGUUAAGUGGGAAACGAUGUGGGAAGGCCCAGACAGCCAGGAUGUUGGCUUAGAAGCAGCCAUCAUUUAAAGAAAGCGUAAUAGCUCACUGGUCGAGUCGGCCUGCGCGGAAGAUGUAACGGGGCUAAACCAUGCACCGAAGCUGCGGCAGCGACACUAUGUGUUGUUGGGUAGGGGAGCGUUCUGUAAGCCUGUGAAGGUGUACUGUGAGGUAUGCUGGAGGUAUCAGAAGUGCGAAUGCUGACAUAAGUAACGAUAAAGCGGGUGAAAAGCCCGCUCGCCGGAAGACCAAGGGUUCCUGUCCAACGUUAAUCGGGGCAGGGUGAGUCGACCCCUAAGGCGAGGCCGAAAGGCGUAGUCGAUGGGAAACAGGUUAAUAUUCCUGUACUUGGUGUUACUGCGAAGGGGGGACGGAGAAGGCUAUGUUGGCCGGGCGACGGUUGUCCCGGUUUAAGCGUGUAGGCUGGUUUUCCAGGCAAAUCCGGAAAAUCAAGGCUGAGGCGUGAUGACGAGGCACUACGGUGCUGAAGCAACAAAUGCCCUGCUUCCAGGAAAAGCCUCUAAGCAUCAGGUAACAUUGAAUCGUACCCCAAACCGACACAGGUGGUCAGGUAGAGAAUACCAAGGCGCUUGAGAGAACUCGGGUGAAGGAACUAGGCAAAAUGGUGCCGUAACUUCGGGAGAAGGCACGCUGAUAUGUAGGUGAAGUCCCUCGCGGAUGGAGCUGAAAUCAGUCGAAGAUACCAGCUGGCUGCAACUGUUUAUUAAAAACACAGCACUGUGCAAACACGAAAGUGGACGUAUACGGUGUGACGCCUGCCCGGUGCCGGAAGGUUAAUUGAUGGGGUCAGCGCAAGCGAAGCUCUUGAUCGAAGCCCCGGUAAACGGCGGCCGUAACUAUAACGGUCCUAAGGUAGCGAAAUUCCUUGUCGGGUAAGUUCCGACCUGCACGAAUGGCGUAAUGAUGGCCAGGCUGUCUCCACCCGAGACUCAGUGAAAUUGAACUCGCUGUGAAGAUGCAGUGUACCCGCGGCAAGACGGAAAGACCCCGUGAACCUUUACUAUAGCUUGACACUGAACAUUGAGCCUUGAUGUGUAGGAUAGGUGGGAGGCUUUGAAGUGUGGACGCCAGUCUGCAUGGAGCCGACCUUGAAAUACCACCCUUUAAUGUUUGAUGUUCUAACGUUGACCCGUGAUCCGGGUUGCGGACAGUGUCUGGUGGGUAGUUUGACUGGGGCGGUCUCCUCCUAAAGAGUAACGGAGGAGCACGAAGGUUGGCUAAUCCUGGUCGGACAUCAGGAGGUUAGUGCAAUGGCAUAAGCCAGCUUGACUGCGAGCGUGACGGCGCGAGCAGGUGCGAAAGCAGGUCAUAGUGAUCCGGUGGUUCUGAAUGGAAGGGCCAUCGCUCAACGGAUAAAAGGUACUCCGGGGAUAACAGGCUGAUACCGCCCAAGAGUUCAUAUCGACGGCGGUGUUUGGCACCUCGAUGUCGGCUCAUCACAUCCUGGGGCUGAAGUAGGUCCCAAGGGUAUGGCUGUUCGCCAUUUAAAGUGGUACGCGAGCUGGGUUUAGAACGUCGUGAGACAGUUCGGUCCCUAUCUGCCGUGGGCGCUGGAGAACUGAGGGGGGCUGCUCCUAGUACGAGAGGACCGGAGUGGACGCAUCACUGGUGUUCGGGUUGUCAUGCCAAUGGCACUGCCCGGUAGCUAAAUGCGGAAGAGAUAAGUGCUGAAAGCAUCUAAGCACGAAACUUGCCCCGAGAUGAGUUCUCCCUGACCCUUUAAGGGUCCUGAAGGAACGUUGAAGACGACGACGUUGAUAGGCCGGGUGUGUAAGCGCAGCGAUGCGUUGAGCUAACCGGUACUAAUGAACCGUGAGGCUUAACCUUACAACGCCGAAGCUGUU